GAUGAAGAACGUAGCGAAAUGCGAUAAGUAAUGUGAAUUGCAGAAUUCAGUGAAUCAUCGAAUCUUUGAACGCACCUUGCGCCCUUUGGCCAUUCCGAAGGGCAUGCCUGUUUGAGUAUCAUGAACACCUCAACUAUUCAUGGUUUUCCAUGAUGAGCUUGGACUUUGGGGGUCUUGCUGGCCUGUGGGUCGGCUCCUCUCAAAUGAAUCAGCUUGCCGGUUUUUGGUGGGCAUCACAGGUGUGAUAACUAUCUACGCUUGUGGUUUUCCACCAGGGUAACCUUCAGCAGUGGAGGUUCACUGGAGCUUACAAAUGUCUCUCCUCUGUGAGGACAGCCCUUUGAAUGUUUGAUCUCAAAUCAGGUAGGACUACCCGCUGAACUUAAGCAUAUCAAUAAGCGGAGGA
rnacentral:misc_RNA from 1 species